rnacentral:rRNA from 1 species
UACGUAGGUGGCAAGCGUUACUCGGAAUCACUAGGCGUAAAGCGCAGGUAGGCGGUUGGAUAAGUCUAUUGUGAAAGCUCCCGGCUUAACUGGGAGAGGCCAAUGGAAACUAUCCGGCUAGAGUAUGGUAGGGGGUACUGGAAUUCCCGGUGUAGCGGUGAAAUGCGUAGAUAUCGAGAGGAACACCUGCGGCGAAGGCGGGUUGCUGGGCCGACACUGACGCUGAAGUGCGAAAGCUAGGGGAGCGAACGGG